GCCAGGCAUGGUGGCGCAUGCCUGUAGUCUCAGCUACUCAGGAGGCUGAGGCAGGAGAAUUGCUUGAACCUGGGAGGUGGAGAUUGCAGUGAGCCGAAAUCACACCACUGCACUCCAGCCUGGGCAACAAAGCAAGACUCUGUCUCAA
ensembl:misc_RNA Metazoa_SRP Metazoan signal recognition particle RNA